rnacentral:rRNA from 1 species
AUGGCGAUGGCCUCCGCGCACGCGCCGAGCGGCGCCGGGAGCCUGGCGCCGCGCGGGGCGCCGAGGCUGCGCGCGCCGGCCGGGCUGGGCUACCUCGGCCUCGGCCCCUCCAGGCCGGCCCUCCGCCCCGUCGCCCUCGCGAGGCGCGCCGCCCCCUCGGGCGCGCGGUCCCCGCUGCUCAGGUGCGCCGCGGCCUCCUCGCCCCCGGUCGCGCGGCCCGCCUCGGCGCCGCGCUUCAUCCAGCACAAGAAGGAGGCCUUCUGGUUCUACCGCUUCCUCUCCAUCGUCUACGACCACGUCAUCAACCCGGGCCACUGGACCGAGGACAUGCGCGACGACGCGCUCGAGCCCGCCGACCUCCACAGCCGCAAGCUCAAGGUCGUCGACGUCGGCGGCGGCACCGGCUUCACCACGCUCGGCAUCGUCAGGCACGUCGACCCCGCCAACGUCACGCUGCUCGACCAGUCGCCCCACCAGCUCGACAAGGCCAGGCAGAAGGAGGCGCUCAAGGGGGUCCAGAUCAUGGAGGGCGACGCCGAGGACCUCCCCUUCCCCACUGACACCUUCGACCGAUACGUCUCCGCCGGCAGCAUUGAGUACUGGCCUGACCCGCAGCGAGGAAUCAAGGAGGCCUACAGGGUCCUCAGGCUCGGCGGGAAAGCUUGUUUGAUCGGCCCUGUGCAUCCAACCUUUUGGCUGUCUCGCUUUUUCGCUGAUAUGUGGAUGCUGUUCCCCACUGAAGAGGAGUACAUCGAAUGGUUCACAAAGGCAGGGUUCAAGGAUGUUCAGCUGAAGAGGAUUGGACCAAAAUGGUACCGUGGUGUCCGUAGGCAUGGCCUGAUCAUGGGGUGCUCUGUGACGGGCGUCAAGAGAGAAAGCGGGGACUCCCCUUUACAGCUUGGUCCGAAGGCUGAAGACGUCAGCAAGCCCGUGAAUCCUAUCACCUUUUUCUUCCGCUUCCUCAUGGGAACAAUAUGUGCCGCGUACUAUGUUCUGGUGCCUAUUUACAUGUGGAUAAAGGACCAGAUUGUGCCCAAAGGCAUGCCGAUCUAA